CGCGGCCUAUCAGCUUGUUGGUGGGGUGAUGGCCUACCAAGGCGGUGACGGGUAGCCGGCCUGAGAGGGCGACCGGCCACACUGGGACUGAGACACGGCCCAGACUCCUACGGGAGGCAGCAGUGGGGAAUAUUGCGCAAUGGGCGGAAGCCUGACGCAGCGACGCCGCGUGGGGGAUGACGGCCUUCGGGUUGUAAACCUCUUUCGCCAGGGACGAAGAGUGAUUGACGGUACCUGGAGAAGAAGCACCGGCCAACUACGUGCCAGCAGCCGCGGUAACACGUAGGGUGCGAGCGUUGUCCGGAAUUAUUGGGCGUAAAGAGCUCGUAGGCGGUGUGUCGCGUCGGCCGUGAAAACUUGGGGCUUAACUCUGAGCGUGCGGUCGAUACGGGCAUCACUUGAGUUCGGCAGGGGAGACUGGAAUUCCUGGUGUAGCGGUGAAAUGCGCAGAUAUCAGGAGGAACACCGGUGGCGAAGGCGGGUCUCUGGGCCGAUACUGACGCUGAGGAGCGAAAGCGUGGGGAGCGAACAGGAUUAGAUACCCUGGUAGUCCACGCCGUAAACGUUGGGCGCUAGGUGUGGGGACCAUUCCACG
rnacentral:rRNA from 2 species